rnacentral:lncRNA from 1 species
GAAACACAGUGCGGUGGAACUGAGUCAUACAGUGCGGUGGAACCGAGCCUUUGUGCCCUCUUUGGUUUGGGGAGUAGCCACAGUGCAGCCCUGCUCCGCCCUCACACCACUGCAGCACCAAACCUGUGGUAGCGCUCGCCUUACUGCCAAGUGAGGCAAAAGGGUAGGAAAGGUCUGUACAAAUUGCUGUUAAACCUCAAAACACAGGUGUAGAAGUCACGCCUGGUUGGACACAGGAGCUCAUUACAAAGUAGCAUUCUGUCUUCAUAACUGUUUCCUGACCGGUCACUGCCUUCCCCAAGUUGUAGGUGGGCUUGUUGGGUUCCUCCUCAAGGCCUACAAGAGGAUUUCCAGAAGAGGAACAACAAUGCAGGAAAGCAGACAGAAGGGUGAGGCACAUGCACUGGCUGAAGCAGCACAGCCCAUCUGAGCACGGCAUGCCCAGGAACCUGGGAUGCUCUGAUCCAGAAAGACCAGGAACUGACAGAAACCCAUGGGAGAACCAUGUACAUUAAAGCUGCCUCAGGAAUAUUAACUGAUUUAACAUAGUGCCCUGUUUUCACCUGGGAUAGAGUUUUCACCAAGCACUGAAGACCAUCUUUAAAUACUGCCUAUGUGGGGCAGUGAACAGUCAUUGCAGCUCCUUGGAUGAAAUUAAAGGAGUGAAGUCAGUUAAGUGAUAUGAUCAGGAUUCUGAGAUUAUUUCUUUGCAUACAUUCACUUGCGUUCUCUAUCAACUUGUUUUCAAUGUGAGUUUUGAAUGAACCCACAUGAGGGAGGAUUUUCUUCACAAUAGAAGUGGAAAUUUGUUGGCUACUUCUGUUGGCAAGUCACAGGACAAAGCACAGUGCCUGGCUAUCAUGGUACUUGCAAACCUUCUGUCUUCUGAACAUCUCAGUGAAAGCUCUGGGAAAUCUAAUUGAAUAUAAGAACAUAUUGAAUGGAUUAUCAAGUGUAGCAUCCUCUCACUAACAGACAAGAACCGCCCUCCUGUUUUGACCACCAGAAGCCUGUGAAGCUUCGCUCACGUGAGUAGUUUUAUUGACUGGGAUGGGAUUGCUCAAUUUGGGAGGAACUGGGCCUCAAUGGGAGCAGUGGAACAUUCCACGGAAAUUGUGAGGCACUCUGAGGAAUGUCUGUUCCCAUCACCAUAAUUUUUCGCUGUAUAAAAUUCUCGCAAGUGCUCUUUUCUUCUUCAUGCCUCUGCUUCUUUGGAAAAUGACCUGUGCUUCAAAGAUCAGGUAGGAUUUGUGGAGAGAUGUAGAGGCAUUAAGUAGUAUAACGGAAC